GAUCCUGGCUUAGGAUGAACGCUAGCUACAGGCUUAACACAUGCAAGUCGAGGGGCAGCAUGGAGUUGCUUGCAAACUCUGAUGGCGACCGGCGCACGGGUGAGUAACGCGUAUCCAACCUUCCCUAUAGUAGAGGAUAGCCCGGCGAAAGUCGGAUUAAUACUCUAUGUUUUCCGUUGCAGACAUCUAAGAUGGAACAAAGGCUUGCCGCUAUAGGAUGGGGAUGCGUCUGAUUAGGUAGUCGGCGGGGUAACGGCCCACCGAGCCAUCGAUCAGUAGGGGUUCUGAGAGGAAGGUCCCCCACAUUGGAACUGAGACACGGUCCAAACUCCUACGGGAGGCAGCAGUGAGGAAUAUUGGUCAAUGGGCGAGAGCCUGAACCAGCCAAGUAGCGUGCAGGAUGACGGCCCUAUGGGUUGUAAACUGCUUUUAUGCGGGGAUAAAGUUCACUACGUGUAGUGUUUUGUAGGUACCGCAUGAAUAAGGACCGGCUAAUUCCGUGCCAGCCGCAGC
rnacentral:rRNA from 1 species